rnacentral:rRNA from 1 species
UACGUAGGGUGCAAGCGUUGUCCGGAAUUAUUGGGCGUGAAGGGCUCGUAGGCGGUCCAUCGCGUCGGGAGUGAAAAGCUGGGGCUUAACCCCAGUCCUGCUUCCGAUACGGGUGGACUAGAGGUAGGUAGGGGAGAUCGGAAUUCCUGGUGUAGCGGUGAAAUGCGCAGAUAUCAGGAGGAACACCGGUGGCGAAGGCGGAUCUCUGGGCCUUACCUGACGCUGAGGAGCGAAAGCAUGGGGAGCAAACAGG